CCUUCGGGGGCAGAGUGACAGGUGGUGCAUGGUUGUCGUCAGCUUGUGUCGUGAGAUGUUGGGUUAAGUCCCGCAACGAGCGCAACCCUUGAUCUUAGUUGCCAGCAUUCAGUUGGGCACUCUAAGGUGACUGCCGGUGACAAACCGGAGGAAGGUGGGGAUGACGUCAAAUCAUCAUGCCCCUUAUGACCUGGGCUACACACGUGCUACAAUGGACAGAACAAAGGGCAGCGAAACCGCGAGGUUAAGCCAAUCCCACAAAUCUGUUCUCAGUUCGGAUCGCAGUCUGCAACUCGACUGCGUGAAGCUGGAAUCGCUAGUAAUCGCGGAUCAGCAUGCCGCGGUGAAUACGUUCCCGGGUCUUGUACACACCGAA
rnacentral:rRNA from 1 species